AUGACUAUAUCGGGAGAGACCUUGUUUAGGCGCCGAAGGAGAAAUUCCCCUGUUCGCAACGGGGGAGGAAGCUCUCAGGCAAAAGUACCGAUAUGAGACG
rnacentral:ncRNA from 2 species